rnacentral:snRNA from 1 species
GUGCUCGCUUUGGCAGCACAUAUACCCAAAAUUGGAAACAAUACAGAGAAGACUAACAUGGCCCCUGUGCAAGGAUGACAUGCAAAUUUGUGAAAGAAUUCCAUAUUUUU